UAUAUCUCCACUAAUAAGCAGAGAGGAGUAAAUCUUCAAAGUGAGUUAUGUGGGUCAAGGUAUGAUGAUUAAUUGGAGUUCUAGUUCAUUUUACUUUGAGAAAAUUAGAGUGUUUAAAGCAGCCUCUUGGGGCACUGAAUACAUUAGCAUGGGAUAAUAAAAUAGGAUCUUCACAAUAUAUUUUAUUGGUUUAAAUUGCGUAUGAAGAUAAUGAUUAAUAGGGACAGUUGGGGGUAUUCAUAUUGGGUGGUUAGCGGUGAAAUGCUCGGAUCCAUUCAAGAUGAACUAAAGCGAAAGCAUUUACCAAGGAUGUUUUCAUUAAUCAAGAACGAAAGUUAAGGGAUCGAAGACGAUUAGAUACCGUCGUAGUCUUAACUAUAAACUAUGCCGACCAGGGAUAUGAGUUGUUAGGAUUAUAUGAAAGUAUAAAUCAAUUUUCUUCUUAUGGACCUUGUGAGAAAUCA
rnacentral:rRNA from 1 species